rnacentral:rRNA from 1 species
AACGAACGCUGGCGGCAUGCCUAACACAUGCAAGUCGAACGAUCCCUUCGGGGAUAGUGGCGCACGGGUGCGUAACGCGUGGGAACCUGCCCUUAGGUUCGGAAUAACUCAGAGAAAUUUGAGCUAAUACCGGAUAACGUCUUCGGACCAAAGAUUUAUCGCCUUUGGAUGGGCCCGCGUUGGAUUAGCUAGUUGGUGGGGUAAAGGCCUACCAAGGCGACGAUCCAUAGCUGGUCUGAGAGGAUGAUCAGCCACACUGGGACUGAGGCACGGCCCAGACUCCUACGGGAGGCAGCAGUGGGGAAUAUUGGACAAUGGGCGAAAGCCUGAUCCAGCAAUGCCGCGUGAGUGAUGAAGGCCUUAGGGUUGUAAAGCUCUUUUACCCGGGAUGAUAAUGACAGUACCGGGAGAAUAAGCCCCGGCUAACUCCGUG